CCUACGGGUGGCUGCAGUGGGGAAUAUUGGACAAUGGGGGGAACCCUGAUCCAGCCAUGCCGCGUGUGUGAAGGAGGCCCUCGGGUUGUAAAGCACUUUCAGUGAGGAAGAACGCCUGGUGGUUAAUACCCAUCAGGAAAGACAUCACUCACAGAAGAAGCACCGGCUAACUCCGUGCCAGCAGCCGCGGUAAUACGGAGGGUGCGAGCGUUAAUCGGAAUUACUGGGCGUAAAGCGCGCGUAGGUGGCUUGAUAAGCCGGUUGUGAAAGCCCCGGGCUCAACCUGGGAACGGCAUCCGGAACUGUCAAGCUAGAGUGCAGGAGAGGAAGGUAGAAUUCCCGGUGUAGCGGUGAAAUGCGUAGAGAUCGGGAGGAAUACCAGUGGCGAAGGCGGCCUUCUGGACUGACACUGACACUGAGGUGCGAAAGCGUGGGUAGCAAACAGGAUUAGAUACCCUAGUAGUC
rnacentral:rRNA from 1 species